AUUGAACGCUGGCGGCAGGCCUAACACAUGCAAGUCGAGCGGAUGAAGGGAGCUUGCUCCUGGAUUCAGCGGCGGACGGGUGAGUAAUGCCUAGGAAUCUGCCUGGUAGUGGGGGAUAACGUCCGGAAACGGGCGCUAAUACCGCAUACGUCCUGAGGGAGAAAGUGGGGGAUCUUCGGACCUCACGCUAUCAGAUGAGCCUAGGUCGGAUUAGCUAGUUGGUGGGGUAAAGGCCUACCAAGGCGACGAUCCGUAACUGGUCUGAGAGGAUGAUCAGUCACACUGGAACUGAGACACGGUCCAGACUCCUACGGGAGGCAGCAGUGGGGAAUAUUGGACAAUGGGCGAAAGCCUGAUCCAGCCAUGCCGCGUGUGUGAAGAAGGUCUUCGGAUUGUAAAGCACUUUAAGUUGGGAGGAAGGGCAGUAAGUUAAUGCCUUGCUGUCUUGACGUUACCAACAGAAUAAGCACCGGCUAACUUCGUG
rnacentral:rRNA from 1 species